rnacentral:rRNA from 1 species
AGCAGCCGCGGUAAUUCCAGCUCCAAUAGCGUAUAUUAAAGUUGCUGCAGUUAAAAAGCUCGUAGUUGAAUUUCGGGACUAAUAUGUCGGUCGUGCCUCGGUACGUACUGGUAUUUUUGGUUUCUCCCUUCUGACGAACCUUGAUGUCAUUAAUUUGGUGUCUUAGGGAAUCAGGACCGUUACUUUGAAAAAAUUAGAGUGUUUAAAGCAGGCUCACGCUUGAAUACAUUAGCAUGGAAUAAUGAAAUAGGACGUUUGAUUCUAUUUUGUUGGUUUCUAGGAUUGACGUAAUGAUUAAUAGGGAUAGUUGGGGGCAUUAGUAUUCAAUUGUCAGAGGUGAAAUUCUUGGAUUUAUUGAAGACUAACUACUGUGAAAGCAUUUGCCAAGGAUGUUUUCAUUAAUCAAGAACGAAAGUUAGGGGAUCGAAGACGAUCAGAUACCGUCGUAGUCUUAACCAUAAACUAUGCCGACUAGGGAUCGGAUGAUGUUAAUUUUUAAUGACUCAUUCGGCGCCUUACG